UACGUAGGGUGCGAGCGUUGCCCGGAUUUAUUGGGCGUAAAGGGCGCGUAGGCGGCUCGGCACGUCCGUUGUGAAAUCGCCCGGCUCAACUGGGCGGGGUCAGCGGAUACGGUCGAGCUUGAGCAAGCUAGGGGGUAAUGGAAUUCCCGGUGUAGUGGUGGAAUGCGUAGAUAUCGGGAGGAGCACCAGUGGCGAAGGCGGUUACCUGGGGCUUUGCUGACGCUGAUGCGCGAAAGCGUGGGGAGCGAUCCGG
rnacentral:rRNA from 1 species